AUUGAACGCUGGCGGCAGGCCUAACACAUGCAAGUCGAGCGGAUGAAGGGAGCUUGCUCCUGGAUUCAGCGGCGGACGGGUGAGUAAUGCCUAGGAAUCUGCCUGGUAGUGGGGGAUAACGUCCGGAAACGGGCGCUAAUACCGCAUACGUCCUGAGGGAGAAAGUGGGGGAUCUUCGGACCUCACGCUAUCAGAUGAGCCUAGGUCGGAUUAGCUAGUUGGUGGGGUAAAGGCCUACCAAGGCGACGAUCCGUAACUGGUCUGAGAGGAUGAUCAGUCACACUGGAACUGAGAAACGGUCCAGACUCCUACGGGAGGCAACAGUAGGGAAUAUUGGUCAAUGGGCGAAAGCCUGAUCCAGCCAUGCCGCGUGUGUGAAGAAGGUCUUCGGAUAGUAAAGCACUUUAAGUUGGGAGGAAGGGCAGUGAGUUAAUACCUUGCUGUCUUGACGUUACCAACAGAAUAAGCUCCGGCUAACUUCGUG
rnacentral:rRNA from 1 species